AGUGAAAUCUGGUUCUUUUCCUCCGGGGACCCCCUACCCUAUCCAAAUACAGAAGCUGCGUGAGGCUGCCCUGGUAAUUGCAGGACUUUAUUUACCCAACUGGUUCACACGUGGACUCAUAACCAGUGCCUCCCAGUCCAUUGCCAUUGUGCCAGGGAAAUGGAAAUCUCCAAAGGUAUAUUCCUGAGGUCUUCUCAGUCAUAUUGUCCUUAGUGAGGAUCCCUUCACUGGAUUCAGCCUUGAGAGUGGGUCUUGGAAGACAGACGGUGGGGAGACAAGAAGGAAGCAGCCCAGGAGUUCAAGGACACUGAUGGUCGUGAGCAGGUUCCACAAGCCCCUAACACAGAAGCCCACAGGGACUCAACAUACUGUCGAGUUACCAAAUACAGGUUCUUUCAAGAAACCAAGAUACUUUGACUCUCAGCCCUGAGAAAUAUGGUGCUCUGACUACAGAUCUUGAAAAGCCAGUUUCUGAGGCAUGUGCCUUAUCCCAAUAGCCUCUUCAUUAUCAAAAGAGGCUUCUCACUGGCUUUAUGGAAAGGACCCAUCCGAAAAAAGGACUGCUUGCAACCAGAUGCAAAACCCAGAGCAUUUUACUCUUUGUACUGCUUUUCCAGGGGAAAAAAAUUCUUCUUGGAAACACAAGUGGAAAAACUUAGCUUUUAUUGCAACAUGAAAGCUCGUUUCAUUUUCCAAGCAUGGAACUGAAUGUCUGUGUUGCGUAAGCACUUGGAUGAAAAGAGUCUGUGUAAAUACAUGUGCCAAUGACUUAGGAACACAGAGUUACUUUGUUUUCUUUUUUCAAUUACAUCAGGAAAGAGCAAGAAGAAGGGACAAUAAGACAUCAUCGUAGCAUAUGGAAGGAACCCAAACUCUGUGACCCAACUUUCCAGGUGCCAAAAAGGAGCCUAUGUUCAGAAGGGAGUGUUGAGGUGUCACUGGAGUGUGUGGGGGGAGACUCCAUCGGUCACCCAGGACUGAUCCGGUCAAACCCCUGUGGCUCCAGACACUUGGAACCAUUAUCAGAACGUCAG
rnacentral:lncRNA from 1 species